rnacentral:rRNA from 1 species
CCUACGGGAGGCUGCAGUGAGGAAUAUUGGUCAAUGGGCGUAAGCCUGAACCAGCCAAGUCGCGUGAGGGAUGAAGGUUCUAUGGAUCGUAAACCUCUUUUAUAAGGGAAUAAAGUGUGGGACGUGUCCUAUUUUGUAUGUACCUUAUGAAUAAGGAUCGGCUAACUCCGUGCCAGCAGCCGCGGUAAUACGGAGGAUCCGAGCGUUAUCCGGAUUUAUUGGGUUUAAAGGGUGCGUAGGCGGCCUUUUAAGUCAGCGGUGAAAGUCUGUGGCUCAACCAGGGAAUUGCCGUUGAAACUGGGAGGCUUGAGUAUGUGUGAGGCAGGCGGAAUGCGUGGUGUAGCGGUGAAAUGCUGAGAUAUCACGCAGAACCCCGAUGGCGAAGGCAGCCUGCCAGGCCAUGACUGACGCUGAUGCACGAAAGCGUGGGGAUCAAACAGGAUUAGAUACCCGAGUAGUC